rnacentral:rRNA from 1 species
GACGAACGCUGGCGGCGUGCUUAACACAUGCAAGUCGAACGGAAAGGCCUGCUUUCCCUUGUGGAUUGCGGGUACUCGAGUGGCGAACGGGUGAGUAACACGUGAGUGAUCUGCCCCCAACUUGGGUAUAAGCCUGGGAAACUGGGUCUAAUUCCCGAUAGGACUGCAGGGUGGUGCCGGUGGUGGAAAACGAUUUUCUAGUGGUUGGGGAUGAGCUCGCGGCCUAUCAGCUUGUUGGUGGGGUAAUGGCCUACCAAGGCGGCGACGGGUAGCCGGCCUGAGAGGGUGGACGGCCGCAUUGGGACUGGGAUACGGCCCAGACUCCUGCGGGAGGCAGCAGUGGGGAAUAUUGCACAAUGGGCGGAAGCCUGAUGCAGCGACGCCGCGUGGGGGAUGACGGCCUUCGGGUUGUAAACUCCUUUCGACCGCGAGGAAGCCACCUGGUUGGAAGGGUGGUGACGGUAGUGGUAGAAGAAGCACCGGCUAACUACGUG